UACAGAGGGUGCAAGCGUUGUUCGGAAUUACUGGGCGUAAAGGGCGCGUAGGCGGCCUGCUAAGUCGAACGUGAAAUCCCCGGGCUCAACCUGGGAACUGCGUCCGAUACUGGUAGGCUUGAAUUCGGGAGAGGGAUGCGGAAUUCCAGGUGUAGCGGUGAAAUGCGUAGAUAUCUGGAGGAACACCGGUGGCGAAGGCGGCAUCCUGGACCGACAUUGACGCUGAGGCGCGAAAGCCAGGGGAGCAAACGGG
rnacentral:rRNA from 1 species